rnacentral:rRNA from 1 species
AGCGAACGCUGGCGGCGUGCCUAACACAUGCAAGUCGAACGUGAAAGGGAGCAAUCCCAAGUAAAGUGGCGUACGGGUGAGUAACACGUAGGUAAUCUACCCCAGAAUCUGGAAUAACCGGCCGAAAGGCUGGCUAAUACUGGAUAGAGCGACGGAAUCCGUAAUUGGGUUUUUCGGGAAAGGGAGCCUGUAAAAAGGCCUUCGUUCUGGGAUGAGCCUGCGUCCCAUCAGCUAGUUGGUGAGGUAAAGGCUUACCAAGGCAAUGACGGGUAGCUGGUCUGAGAGGACGAUCAGCCACACUGGAACUGAAACACGGUCCAGACUCCUACGGGAGGCAGCAGUGGGGAAUCUUGCGCAAUGGACGAAAGUCUGACGCAGCAACGCCGCGUGAGUGAAGAAGGCCUUCGGGUUGUAAAGCUCUGUCGAGUGGGACGAAAAUGCUUGGAGUUCACAGCUCCAGGAACUGACGGUACCACUAAAGGAAGCACCGGCUAACUCCGUG